UUCUGAUAUUACUAUACAAUAUUUUCGGUAAAGGAUUCAAGUUUGUUAAAACAUACAAGUACCAGUACUAGUACAGAAUCCUUAAGUGUGUAUUUGUGUGUGUUUGAAAAUUAAUUCUCUCAAUGAAGGAUAUCAUAAAAAUUAAUAAGAACAAGACCUUUAUUAAGCAGCAGCAAAGUAAUGGCCACAAUAACAAGUGAGUGUAGAUUGUAAUAAAGCAAGUGACAUUAAAAAGAUGUUGGAUAUAUGUAGGGAAAAUUUAAUUGGUGUAUGUUCAUAACAUGACGUUUAUAUCCUCUUAAGAAUGUGAGUUUACAGUAAUGGGAUGUAAAAAUUCAACUUGUUGAAUUAUUUGUGGUAUACUUGUUGUCUGUUGUAAUAUAAUUAAUAUACAUACUCAAUUACAAAAAUGCAUCCUGAUGUAAACAUAGAGGAAGGUGUUGUCUUAAAUGUUUCUUUCCAUUAAUUGGUUAUAAUAUCCCUGAAAAUGAAUAAAGAAAAUAUUUAUAAAUAUAAAUAUGAAUAACAGAAUUUGUGCUCAAUAAAUGAUUAUUGCAUUAAGGCAAAUGAAAUCUGUGCAUAUGGAUAUGUUCAUUAUGCUGCCAUGUCUUUUUUAAAUAAAUUAAUUAGCACGUUUUUGGGGGUAAUGUGUAAGGAAAUAUAAGACAUUGCUUCUGUUCUUAAAUAAUUUAAUAUUUGUCUAGGAACUUAACAUAUUAACACACAGAGAUUAAUAAUGCACAUAUAUGUUAUGACUCAAAUUUAUAGGAAAGAAAGCUAUGGGCAUUGAAAGAAGAAAGGGUUGUGUGAUCAAAAAAUAAUGGGUGAAAAUGAGAUCUGUAUGAUUAUUUUGCCUUUUUAAAUAACUUAAUAUUCCAGUUGAUGCAUGACUAAGUGAAAUAAAUAUGAUGUUUUAAAAUUAAACGAAGUAAAGGAGACAUAUACAUCUGAAAUAGAAGAGCCAGGAGUUUAUGGGCCUCCAUUCAAGCACAUAUAGGUGCUAAUAGUAAAAGAUUAAAUUUAAUCUCAGUAGAAAAAGAUGAAAAUCAAAAUGAGGCAACGUUCAGACAGAAUAGAAAUGGUAAAGCCAGAAGCAUCCUCAAGGCAGUUAAAUAGCAAAGUGCCUGUUACCUAACAAUGAAGAUAUAGGACCCAGUGCAAUGCCCACUUUAUGUAA
rnacentral:lncRNA from 1 species